rnacentral:rRNA from 1 species
AUCGUCGGGUUAGCAAUAAUUCGGCGGUUCGAGUGGCGCACGGGUGAGUAACACGUGGGUAACCCACCCUUGAGACCGGGAUACCCUCUCGAAAGGGAGGCUAAUACUGGAUACGUUCCCUGGGACGCAAGAUCUGGGGAGGAAAGGUGGCGAAAGCUGCCGCUCUUGGAGGGGCUCGCGGCCUAUCAGCUAGUUGGUGAGGUAACGGCUCACCAAGGCUAUGACGGGUAGCUGGUCUGAGAGGACGACCAGCCACACGGGAACUGAGACACGGUCCCGACUCCUACGGGAGGCAGCAGUGGGGAAUUUUCCGCAAUGGGCGAAAGCCUGACGGAGUGACGCCGCGUGGGGGACGAAGGCCUUCGGGUCGUAAACCCCUGUCAGAGGGAAAGACGGGUGUCGGCGUGAAUAGCGCCGGCAUUUGACGGUACCUUCAGAGGAAGCCCCGGCCAACUCUGUGCCAGCAGCCGCGGUAAGACAGAGGGGGCAAGCGUUGCUCGGAAUCACUGGGCGUAAAGGGCGCGUAGGCGGGAUGGCAAGUCGGUCGUGAAAUCCUUCGGCUCAACCGAAGAACGUCGGCCGAUACUGCCGUUCUUGAGGGAUGCAGAGGAGAUUGGAAUUCCCGGUGUAGCGGUGAAAUGUGUAGAGAUCGGGAGGAACACCGGUGGCGAAGGCGGGUCUCUGGGCAUCUCCUGACGCUGAGGCGCGAAAGCGUGGGGAGCAAACGGGAUUAGAUACCCCGGUAGUCCACGCUGUAAACGAUGACGACUAGGUGUGGGGGGGGGGUUAGUCCUUUCCGUGCCGCGCUAACGC